AUGGACAGCAGCAGCGAGCCGAUGGUCGGGGGGGAGGACGAGGCGGCUGGCACCUCAGCCUCCGAGGGUCUGGAGGAGGGGGAGGUGGAGGGGGAGACGCUGCUGAUUGUGGAGUCGGAGGACCAGGGCUCCGUGGACCUGUCACAUGACCAGAGCGGAGACUCAUUAACCAGUGAGCUGGGGGAGGAGGCAGAGGGGGGGGGCUGGGCCUGCGAGGAGAUGAGCUUCCACUGCGACCGUUGCCACAAGUGGAUCCCCUCAGCUCAGCUGAGGGAGGAGCAGCCCAGCUACCUGAAGGGGGACAACUUCUUUAAGUUCACCUGCAGCGACUGCUCUGAGGACAGCAAGGAGAGCUUCGAGAGGAUGAGGCUCACCUGGCAGCAGGUUGUGAUGCUGGCGAUGUACAACCUGUCUCUGGAGGGAACCGGCCGGCAGGGAUACUUCCGGUGGAAAGAGGACAUCUGCGCCUUCAUCGGCCGACACUGGAACUUCCUGCUGGGAACCAGGAAGAAGACCUCGACCUGGUGGAGCACGGUGGCCGGCUGCCUGUCCGUCGGCAGUCCCACCUUCUUCCGGUCCGGAGCGCAGGAGUUUGGAGAGCCCGGUUGGUGGAAGUUGGUCCAGAACAGACCUCCCACUCUGAAGCUGGACACCGACAAAUCCACCACCAAGACCAAAGCCUCGAAACCCGUCAUGGACCCCAUCAUCACGGUGGAGGGUCUGAGGAAGCGAGGAGCCAGGAACCCGGUGGAGAACGCCAUCCAGCUGAAGGAGAAGCGCUGCCGGACGCAGGAGGCCAAAGACAUCCGGCGGGCUCAGAAGGAGGCGGUGGGCGCUGGGGGGGGCUGCACAGACCGCAGUGCCUCUUCCACCCCUGUCAAACUGGGCGGAGGCCGGGGGGGGAACGCUGGCCGCCGACCGGACCUGGUCCUGGAGAAAGGAGAAGUGAUCGAUUUCUCCUCCCUCAGCUCGUCGGACCGGACCCCCCUCACCAGCCCCUCACCCUCACCCUCCCCUGAUUUCUCCGCCCCGGGGACGCCGGCCUCUCAUUCAGCGACGCCCAGCCUGCUGUCGGAGGCCGACCUGAUCCCCGACGCCAUGCCCCCGCAGGCCCUGUUCCACGACGACGAGGAGCUGGAGACGGAGGGGAUGAUCGACCCGGGGAUGGAGUACCUCCCUCCUCCUCGAGCCAGCCUCGUCGCCCGGAAGAAGCUCCGUCCGGUGGCGCCGCACAUCAAACGUGAAGCCGACAGCGAGGACGAAGAAGGACACGAUGAAGAGUUUGAAGGGCCGGUGGGACGCAGACAGGGGCCGUCGCUGUCCGCCGGGGGCUGUGUUGGUGCCGGAGGCCCAGAGAGGAGGAGGAUAACCCACCCUGAGAAAGCAGACGAAGACCCCCAUACUCCCUGCUUUUCCCCCCUCAGCCUCUACGAGGAGAGGAUGCUGCUCCGCCGGCUGGACUCCUGCCCGUUAGCUUUAGCCGUCACUCCGCAGGCCAAACGCCUCCACAGGAAGCUGCUGGUGCGCCAGGCCAAGAGGCAACGAGGGCUCCCCCUGCUGGACGUCGACCGGGCGAUCAGCGCCACCCUCAGCCUGGUGGGGGGGAUCUACGGCGCCCAGGGGACCCUGAUGCGAGGAGGACUCAUGGGGAAAUACUGCACAAACAGCCAGGAGUCGCGGAUUCUUGAUCGCUUCCAGACCAACCUCUCCGGCAGAAGAGGCCUCCAGCAGACCCCGGUGUCCUUCUGCCAUCGCCUGACAGGAGCAGAAGGCAGUUCGGACCUGAGCAUCAAGAGUCCGUACACCUCCCGCAUCCUGAAACCCUACAUCAGGAGGGAUUAUGAGAGUCGUCCGGUGAAGCUGAGGUUGUUGGAAGAGAUCAGAGCCUACCCCCACAGGAAGAACCCCAACUGGGUCCCUGAACCCAAUGCUCCCAUCGACUACUGCUACGUCCGCCCCAACCACAUCCCCUCGGUCAACGCCAUGUGCAACGAAAGCUUCUGGCCAGGUGUGGACCUGUCUGAGUGCCUGCAGUACCCAGACUUCAGCGUGGUCGUCCUCUAUAAGAAGGUGGUGAUCGCCUUUGGUUUCAUGGUGCCGGAUGUGAAGUACAACGAGGCCUACAUCUCCUUCCUGUUGGUCCAUCCGGAGUGGAGGAGGGCCGGCAUCGCCACCUUCAUGAUCUACCAUCUGAUCCAGGUGAGUCCUUCAUGGUCUAGCGUCUGAUCCAGGCGAGUCCUUCAUGGUCUAGCAUCUGAUCCAGGCGAGUCCUUCAUGGUCUAGCAUCUGAUCCAGGUGAGUCCUUCAUGGUCUAGCGUCUGAUCCAGGCGAGUCCUUCAUGGUCUAGCAUCUGAUCCAGGCGAGUCCUUCAUGGUCUAGCAUCUGAUCCAGGUGAGUCCUUCAUGGUCUAGCGUCUGAUCCAGGCGAUUCCUUCAUGGUCUAGCAUCUGAUCCAGGCGAGUCCUUCAUGGUCUAGCAUCUGAUCCAGGUGAGUCCUUCAUGGUCUAGCGUCUGAUCCAGGCGAGUCCUUCAUGGUCUAGCAUCUGAUCCAGGCGAGUCCUUCAUGGUCUAGCAUCUGAUCCAGGUGAGUCCUUCAUGGUCUAGCGUCUGAUCCAGGCGAGUCCUUCAUGGUCUAGCAUCUGAUCCAGGCGAGUCCUUCAUGGUCUAGCAUCUGAUCCAGGCGAGUCCUUCAUGGUCUAGCGUCUGAUCCAGGCGAGUCCUUCAUGGUCUAGCGUCUGAUCCAGGCGAGUCCUUCAUGGUCUAGCGUCUGAUCCAGGCGAGUCCUUCAUGGUCUAGCGUCUGAUCCAGGCAAGUCCUUCAUGGUCUAGCGUCUGAUCCAGGCGAGUCCUUCAUGGUCUAGCGUCUGAUCCAGGCAAGUCCUUCAUGGUCUAGCGUCUGAUCCAGGCGAGUCCUUCAUGGUCUAGCGUCUGAUCCAGGUGAGUCCUUCAUGGUCUAGCAUCUGAUCCAGGUGAGUCCUUCAUGGUCUAGCAUCUGAUCCAGGUGAGCUCAGUGAUUCCGUCAUCAGGUAUUUACUGGACUUUGAAAUUUAAAUCUCUGAAAGUAGGGCUUAUUUAAUCUGAAAGAAGAUCCCAGGUGUGCAGACUCUGAUGCAACCUGUAUCGAUUGACUGACUUCCUGUGUUUUCAGACGUGCAUGGGGAAGGACGUGACGCUGCACGUGUCGGCCAGUAACGCCGCCAUGCUGCUCUACCAGAAGUUUGGUUUCAAAUCGGAGGAGUACAUCCUGGACUUCUACGAUAAGUACUACCCUGUGGACAGCAUCGAGUGCAGACACGCCUUCUACCUGAGACUCCGGCGCUGAUCAGAGCUUCACCUCCAGCAGUCCUGACGGUCCAGAUGAGAUCUUCCUCCUAUAAUGGACAUCAAUCCGGCUGCAGCACAUUGCCUGGCUCAAAGGAAGCAGGGCAGAGACCUGAUGGGUCGCCAGAAACUGAGACAAUGUUGGAAGGAUUUCUCCAAAGUGGUAGCGUCUCUGUAGCUCUGUCUGUAUGGAAAGUGUUUGUACUGUCAUGUGAAGCUGAGGAUAUUAGUGUUAGACGCUCAGUAGUUAGAUUCCAGGGGCGGCUGCAGAUUGUUUCAGACAUUUCCAAAAACUCCAGAGCGUUAUGAUGUCCAAAAACACCUGCCCAAGUAUCCUGCUUCAGUACAUUUUGUAUUUGAACGUUCAGCCUUCAAACAUCUUCAGACGGGUUUUCAUAUCGAAGAUUUGAUUAAAGGAUUGUUUUGUUCCUGACAGAUAUUAAAAGCUUCAUGUAUAAACCCUGAAAGAGUCGGCGCAGCCUGUAAUAAACCCCUCUCACCUCCUCUGGAGGGAUGAGUGACGCCACCACUGACCCACCUGCAUGUCGGUGCUCAUGGAGGACUGUCGGUGCUUUCAGAAGAAUCUCUGAUGAACAAUCAUUCAGGAAACCUCAGCCGGGGUUGUUUCUGUAAGAUCAGAACAAUAAAUAUCUGGCCUUAAAUCUCAUAAUGAA